AGCGUAGACGGCAAGGCAAGUCUGAUGUGAAAACCCAGGGCUUAACCCUGGGACUGCAUUGGAAACUGUCUGGCUCGGGUGCCGGAGAGGUAAGCGGAAUUCCUAGUGUAGCGGUGAAAUGCGUAGAUAUUAGGAAGAACACCAGUGGCGAAGGCGGCUUACUGGACGGUAACUGACGUUGAGGCUCGAAAGCGUGGGGAGCAAACAG
rnacentral:rRNA from 1 species